GUCGCUGAAAAGCCCGCUAGAACAACAGUGUUUCCAGACAGAGCCGCGGUCCGAGCUGGAGCCCGGGGCUGCCCGCCGAGCUGGCUGCCGUGUGCGACAUGCCGUCUGUCCUGCGAAUGCUUCGUGCGUGAAAUUCCGCUAUCGAUUGAUUUUAAGACUCUUGAGCCGGGCAUUGUGCAGUUUCGUCACGAGCAUAUACAAUCGAUCAUCCAUUAUGCAAUGCACAAUUUUGCCUCAGAAUAGGAAUGCACAUGUGCAACUCUUCCAGGAAUCGUCUCUGAUACACUAAGUCAACUCUUCGUGUCAAAAUUCUAGCAAUUGGACGUGCUGAUGACACUCCCCGGGAGCCAAAAUGAGAGUAGCCGUGCGUGCGCGCCCAGCUACCAACCAAACCAAUAGCAAUCGUCACCGUCUCUGCACAUCUCUGCAAGCAUGCAUGACCGCUUUGUGACUGCAUCAUAGAG